rnacentral:rRNA from 3 species
AUGCAUGUGUAAGUACAAGCCGAUUUAAGGCGAAACCGCGAAUGGCUCAUUAAAUCAGCUAUGAUUCAUUGGAUCUGUAAACCCACUUACUUGGAUAACUGUGGUAAUUCUAGAGCUAAUACAUGCACCACGUCUCUGACCGCAAGGGAAGAGCGCUUUUAUUAGUUCAAAACCGGUCGGGCCUCGGUCCGUAACCCACCUGUGAUGACUCUGAAUAACUUUGAGCUGAGCGCACGGUCUCCGCACCGGCGCCGCAUCUUUCAAGUGUCUGCCUUAUCAGCUUUCGAUUGUAGGCUAUGCGCCUACAAUGGCUAUAACGGGUAACGGGGAAUCAGGGUUCGAUUCCGGAGAGGGAGCCUGAGAAACGGCUACCACA